UGGCGAACGGGUGAGUAACACGUGGGUAAUCUGCCCUGCACUCUGGGAUAAGCCUGGGAAACUGGGUCUAAUACUGGAUAUGACCUUUCUCCUUAUAGGGUUUGGUGGAAAGUUUUUCAGUGUAGGAUGAGCCCGCGGCCUAUCAGCUUGUUGGUGGGGUGAUGGCCUACCAAGGCGACGACGGGUAGCCGGCCUGAGAGGGUGAUCGGCCACAUUGGGACUGAGAUACGGCCCAG
rnacentral:rRNA from 1 species